rnacentral:rRNA from 1 species
CCCUUAGAUGUCCUGGGCUGCACGCGCGCUACACUGAUGUGUCCAGUAAGCACCUAACCUCUUCCGAAAGGAACGGGUAACCUUUGCAAAGCACAUCGUGAUGGGGAUAGAUUAUUGCAAUUAUUAGUCUUGAACGAGGAAUUCCUAGUAAGCACAAGUCAUCAGCUUGUGUUGAUUACGUCCCUGCCCUUUGUACACACCGCCCGUCGCUCCUACCGAUUGAAUGUUCCGGUGAGCUCUUCGGACUGCGCGGUCUGCAGUUUCUGCGUUCCGUGCGGAAAGUUGCGCAAACCUUAACUUUUAGAGGAAGGAGAAGUCGUAACA